rnacentral:lncRNA from 1 species
GCCCAAAACCAUGACCAAAAUCUUGACUCAUGCUAGAGUCAUGAAGGGUGUCAAACACCCUCCAACCAUCAAAUGCUUGGGCAUCAAAAAUAGAUGCUAAUAUCCUCAUCUACGUGAGAUAUGGAGGAGUCCUUCUCACAAAAGGACUCCUUCCUUUGGGUGCAAAUAAUUUUGAGUGUGAAGACCAUCUUCACAUGGGAUAAUGGG